rnacentral:rRNA from 1 species
GAUAGUCGGUGAAGUAGAGCACUGAUUGGUGGUCCCGGGGAAGAAAUUCCUCAGCUACCUGUCAAACUCCAAACUCACCGUCGUCUGAGAAGAUCGGAGUCCGGACUACUGGGGUAAGCUUGUAGUCCGUAAGGGAGACAACCCAGCCCGUGGUUAAGGUCCCCAAGUGUCGACUAAGUGUUAAUACUAAAGGGUGUCCUAAGCCCUAGACAGCUGGAAGGUUAGCUUAGAAGCAGCUAUCCUUUAAAGAGUGCGUAACAGCCCACCAGUCGAGGUUUGGGGCCCCGAAAAUGGACGGGGCUCAAGUCGACCACCGAUACCACGGAGCACCGUAAGGUGAUCUCGUAGGAAGGCGUUGCGUUCGGGCAGAAGCAGGGCUGUGAAGUCCUGUGGACCGUGCGGAAACGAAAAUCCUGGUAACAGUAACAGCAUAGAUAGGUGAGAAUCCUAUCCGCCGAAGGGGCUAGGUUUCCUCGGCAAUGAUCGUCAGCCGAGGGUUAGUCGGUCCUAAGACGUACCGUAAUUCGAGUACGCCAAAAGGGAAACAGGUUAAUAUUCCUGUACCUCUUGACAUUAAAACCAACGUUUUUGGGCAGGUUGAGCGGCGCCGUCGCGCCGUCUAAGCACCUAAUCCCGUGGAGAGCCGUAAUGGCGAGAAGCGGAGGAAUGUGUUAUGGCGAAAGUCAGCUGCACCCGGGAACCCGUGAAAAGGGAGUCAAGGGUCCGUACCGAGAACUGACACAGGUGCCCCUAGCUGAAAAGGCUAAGGCGUGUCGGAACAAUUUGGCUAAGGGAAUUCGGCAAAUUAGCUCCGUAACUUCGGGAGAAGGAGUGCCUGCUGUGAAGACAGCAGGUCGCAGUGACAAGAGAGCUCUAACUGUCUAAUAUCAACAUAGGAGAUCGCAAACCCGUAAGGGCUAGUACGAUCUCUGAAUCCUGCUCAGUGCAGGUACCUGAAACUCCGGUUCAACGGAUCGAAGGGCCUGUAAACAGCGGGGGUAACUAUGACCCUCUUAAGGUAGCGUAGUACCUUGUCGCUUAAUUGGCGACUUGCAUGAAUGGAUCAAUGAGAGCUCUACUGUCCCUAGCCAGAGUCCGGUGAAGCUUACUUUCUAGUGCACAGUCUAGAGACCUCUAGGGGGAAGUGAAGACCCCGUGGAGCUUUACUGCAGCCUGUCGUUGGGUUGUGAUUUUGGAUGUACAGUGUAGGUAGGAGACAUCGAAGGUGGUGCGCCAGCAUCACUGGAGUCGCCGUUGGGACACUACCCUUCUGAAAUUACGACCCUAACUCCGAGAGGAGGACCCCGAUAGGUGGGCAGUUUGCCUGGGGCGGGACGCCCUUGAAAAGAUAUCAAGGGCGCACAAUGGUUGACUCAAGUGGGUCGGAAACCCACUGAAGAGUGCAAGAGCAUAAGUCAGCCUGACGUUAUUCAGCACAGUAGUGGAUGACGAGACGAAAGUCGGUUCUAGCGAACUUUUGUGCUCGCUUGGUGCGAGCCAAAAAUGACAGAAAAGUUACCCCGGGGAUAAUUGAGUUGUUGCCGGCAAGAGCACAUAUCGACCCGGCAGCUUGCUACUUCGAUGUCGGUUCUUUCCAUCCUGGCCGUGCAGCAGCGGCCAAGGGUGAGGUUGUUCGCCUAUUAAAGGAGAUCGUGAGCUGGGUUUAGACCGUCGUGAGACAGGUCGGUUACUAUCUACUAGAGGUGUUAGUGGUCUGAGGGUAAGCUACUUUUAGUACGAGAGGAACAGAGUAGCGGCGCCACUGGUGUAUCAGUUGUCCGACAGGGCAUUGCUGAGCAGCUACGCGCUAAGGAAUAAGAGCUGAAUGCAUCUAAGCUCGAAAUCUGACUCAAAAAGAGACCACAUUAAGGAUCCCGGUAUAAGACCGGUUUGAUAGGGUCGGGAUGUACGCACCAAGGCAACGAGGUGUUCAGUCCGCGGCUACUAAUAAUCCGUGCCUGUCUG